AGGAAGAGGAAAGGUUAAAAAUGGGAACCAUCCAAAUCAUUUUCUGAGCCUACAUGUUUCUCAGGCAAGUCAUCUGUUAUAACCUCACUUGCCUGCCUAGAGAGCCAGCCUGCACUUUUCUUUUUAAAGGAAAGCACUUAAACAUCAGUCAGACACAGCAGGUUAAUCAGCAGAUGGAAAGAGAUCCUCCAGGUUAAGCAGAUGAGGCAUCUGCCCUUCCUGCAGCAUUUCCCCUUUCCAGCCACUGGCAACUGGCCAGCUUUCCCCUCCAAUACAUGCAAGAGGUUAUCUAUGUGCACCUCCUCACCAUCUUCCCCAGGUGACAUGCAGGGAAAUAGGUUGGGAUCUCCUUUCUCAUAUAUACAUAUGCUAACCAAACACUUUGAAUUCCCAGGCUUCAGCCAGAACUAAAGCAUCAGGAAGGGAAGAGGCACAUCUCAACCACAAUUCAGCCUCCCAGCAGGUGAAGACAGCCCUCAAGCUUGCCUUUCCUCCAGAGCAGUGGGAGCACUUAUGAUACAGCAAAUUGGCAACAAGGCAGCAGAGACUGCACAUGUGCCAGGCUGGGAGCAGAAGCAGCUCUCUCUUCUGCAGUCAAAAAUAGGACUCAGUAGGAUGCAGAAGGGGUGGUAGCAAGGAAAGUUGGAGAAGAAGGAAUCGCCUCUCAGAUACCUACCGAAAUACAGACAUUUCCUCCUACUCCCCCCCCCCCCGCCAUAGUCCUUCACCAAGGGAAAGUGGGAUUUGCUUCCCAUCACUGAUGUCCUGACUCGUGUACAAGCCAAACGCUGAAUUUGGGCUGCAGUGGCUAAAGGAAGCAUUUCCCACGGGGCAGAUGCCCUCUCCUCCCCGGCUCUACCACCACAAGAACAGCUGUGCCAACACCAUCAUCAGAUGGCUUUGAGUUUACAUUCUAUUAAUAUCUUGCACCUCGCAUGACUGAAAGAAAACAAGAUGGAAAAAGACCUGCACUAACUCCUGUGAAGGGUAGACUGCUUGUUUUCUUGGCCCAUUUGGGAGGAAACAAGAGCUGCUUGAGAGUUGGGCAGUAUUUGGUGCGCAGGCAUGAGUGGAUCUUCUUGCUAUAUCAGCUAAUGUGAGACCACAAGGACUGGAUACCUUAAAAACAAGGCAGUUUGCAAGAUGUUUGUGAAGUUUAAAAAAAAUGUCUUCUCUUAAUUUCCUGAAAUACUGGAGGAGGAAGAAGAAAUAUCUCCCUCCUAAAGUGGUAUGUAAUACUCUGCUUAUGCUAAAUUACUUAGCCCUCAGAUCUUUGAUUAUAGUGAUCAACUUGCCAGACUCCAUCUGUACAUUAGCCACAUACACAGCCAGAUCAGCUCUUUUGUGCAUAAACAACUGCUGCCUCCCAACUGCACCAUUCUGGAGCUGGCACAGAGACAGCUUCCUCCAGGCUGGGUGUUAGCAAUGUUGUGCCCGUUACUGAAAAUGCCAAAAUGUACCCAGUGAUAAGCAUAAAGUAAUGCAAUACCGUAAGAGCUAGAUGACAGGACCAUUCUUUAAGACAAACAAGGAUAAAAAUCUGAGCUCCUUUAUGAACACUAAAUUGGUACAAAAUUAAUUUAGCCAAAGGAGCAGAUUCAAAUUUGCCUUGUCUGUGUUUAUCAAGGUUCAAUUUAUGUUCAGUGAACCAGCUCAGAUAUCAUGUGUCACCUCUC